rnacentral:rRNA from 1 species
AGUGAACGCUGGCGGUAGGCCUAACACAUGCAAGUCGAACGGCAGCACAGUAAGAGCUUGCUCUUACGGGUGGCGAGUGGCAGACGGGUGAGGAAUACAUCGGAAUCUACUUUUUCGUGGGGGAUAACGUAGGGAAACUUACGCUAAUACCGCAUACGACCUACGGGUGAAAGCAGGGGAUCUUCGGACCUUGCGCGAUUGAAUGAGCCGAUGUCGGAUUAGCUAGUUGGCGGGGUAAAGGCCCACCAAGGCGACGAUCCGUAACUGGUCUGAGAGGAUGAUCAGCCACACUAGAACUGAGACACGGUCCAGACUCCUACGGGAGGCAGCAGUGGGGAAUAUUGGACAAUGGGCGCAAGCCUGAUCCAGCCAUACCGCGUGGGUGAAGAAGGCCUUCGGGUUGUAAAGCCCUUUUGUUGGGAAAGAAAAGCAGCAGGUUAAUACCCCGCUGUUCUGACGGUACCCAAAGAAUAAGCACCGGCUAACUUCGUG